GCCUGGGUGGCUCAGUUAGUUAAGCACCUGACUUUAGCUCAGGUCAUGAUCUCACGUUUCGUGGGUUUGAGCCCCAUCGUGGGCU
rnacentral:tRNA from 1 species